rnacentral:rRNA from 1 species
GACGAACGCUGGCGGCGUGCCUAAUACAUGCAAGUAGAACGCUGAAGGAGGAGCUUGCUUCUCCGGAUGAGUUGCGAACGGGUGAGUAACGCGUAGGUAACCUGCCUGGUAGCGGGGGAUAACUAUUGGAAACGAUAGCUAAUACCGCAUAAGAGUAGAUGUCGCAUGACAUUUGCUUAAAAGGUGCAACUGCACCACUACCAGAUGGACCUGCGUUGUAUUAGCUAGUUGGUGAGGUAACGGCUCACCAAGGCAACGAUACAUAGCCGACCUGAGAGGGUGAUCGGACACACUGGGACUGAGACACGGCCCAGACUCCUACGGGAGGCAGCAGUAGGGAAUCUUCGGCAAUGGACGGAAGUCUGACCGAGCAACGCCGCGUGAGUGAAGAAGGUUUUCGGAUCGUAAAGCUCUGUUGUAAGAGAAGAACGAGUGUGAGAGUGGAAAGUUCACACUGUGACGGUAUCUUACCAGAAAGGGACGGCUAACUACGUG